rnacentral:rRNA from 1 species
AGUUUGAUCCUGGCUCAGAUUGAACGCUGGCGGCAGGCCUAACACAUGCAAGUCGAACGGUAGCACAGAGAGCUUGCUCUUGGGUGACGAGUGGCGGACGGGUGAGUAAUGUCUGGGAAACUGCCCGAUGGAGGGGGAUAACUACUGGAAACGGUAGCUAAUACCGCAUAACGUCUUCGGACCAAAGUGGGGGACCUUCGGGCCUCACACCAUCGGAUGUGCCCAGAUGGGAUUAGCUAGUAGGUGGGGUAACGGCUCACCUAGGCGACGAUCCCUAGCUGGUCUGAGAGGAUGACCAGCCACACUGGAACUGAGACACGGUCCAGACUCCUACGGGAGGCAGCAGUGGGGAAUAUUGCACAAUGGGCGCAAGCCUGAUGCAGCCAUGCCGCGUGUAUGAAGAAGGCCUUCGGGUUGUAAAGUACUUUCAGUGGGGAGGAAGGCGAUGAAGUUAAUAGCUUCGUCGAUUGACGUUACCCGCAGAAGAAGCACCGGCUAACUCCGUGCCAGCAGCCGCGGUAA